AUCAGAAAAUUAAAGCUUCUGACAUACAUAUGACAGACAGUGGGUAUCCAAAGAGUUUUGUUCUAUUGAGCCUUUUUAAUACUUUACUCAGCACUCAGAGUAUUACAUGAAACACACUCAGCACACAUACAGAAACAAAUACCACCAGUGCUUACAUUUAAACUAUCAUGCGAAGCAUUCAUCAGCAGAGGCUUGUGUGAAACUGCAGAGUUGGGUAGGGUUGAUUCAAGAAGCUGCCUAUGGGAUUUUGAAAGGAACAUACAGCACAUUGAGAAUUAAGAAGUCUUAGAAGGGGAAGAAUUAUUGGAGAGUGUAUAAUCCUAAAUUCUAAAAACCAGGGGACAUGUCCCACCAGUAAUACGAAGGAUAUCUACAUGUGGCAACAUAGGCUUAAACAAUGUUUACCCAAGGAAUGAGAGUUAUUUCUCUUUCAGCUCUUUAAAAAUCUUUGAUUUUAUUCAGAAGAAUGUCUGUUUUCCCUACACUGCCUUUAACACUUCUCUAACAUUAAGACCCUUUAACAAAGAUCCCUCAUUGAUCAGGACGCAAGUUCAUCUAAUUAUUUAAAAUACUGUCUUAUUUUCAUUCUUGAUUUUUCCUCUAACCUUCUGUUAAUAUUUUAUCCCAUUUACACUGAUGACCUACAGAUUUAAAAGUAAACUUAAAAUUUCAAAGGAAGUAAAUUUUAAAUAGAGGUAAUAAUAGUAACAUCAGUAGUAAGAGCUUUUGUCAAGCAGUCAUUACCCUGACCAUCCCUGGGUGAAAUCUGGAAAAUACUGGUAUAGCCCAUGUGUCUCACCCAGCUUUGGAUUAUAUAAUAAAUUCUCUAUUGUUAAAAUGAAUACUAACGAACAGGCUACUCUGUGGCUUGUCAGGAAAGCACUGGUUCAAGUGGCUACUGUGCAUUACAGAGGAAGCUUAGAGAAGGUGAAGACCUUCCUAGCACCUGAGGCUGGAGAAGACCAAGCUCCUCACCAAGACUAGGACAAUAACCAGGGCACCACGUAAAAUCUGUGGGCCAGCACCAAGGGAUGAGUGAGAGUCCCCUUGAAAUCCAGCAAAGAUGGCUUGAAUCCCAGCCUCUCCGCUUGGCAAGACACCACGGUACCUCUCAGCUUACUGUACUCUUUACUCAUCUGUAAAAAAUGUAUCGGAAUAAUAAUAGCUAACAGUUAUGGAGCACUUUGAAGGAAUUAUCUCAACUCUCAAAAUAACAAAGACAGCUGUCAUCCCCUAAGAUAGAUGAGCGCAUUGGGACUCUGGCUACACUGCAGCUAAACAAAUGGCGGAAUAGGAUUCAAAACCAAGCAGUCUGGGCCCAGGGUCUGGCCUCAAAGGAGGACACGUCAGCACCUUCCACACCCAGGGGUUCACUUGCAGCCUGGCUUCCAGAACCUUCUCCUUAGUGACGAAGCCAAGAGCUGCACUUCCCAGGAUGCCUCUGGCUGUAGAGCUGGCCAAUCAGGAAGCCCCAGGUGGAGGAGCCGGCCAAUCAGGUAGUCCCAGGCAGAGGAGCUGGCCAAUCAGGAAGCCGGCCUUGAGUCAGCGCCUGCUCAGAGCGCCUCGCAGUCAGAACUUUGGGGACUGUUGGCCAGUGUCUCUGAAGUGAGUGAAAUAGGAUAAAUUCCUCUGGUUCAAGAAAAGGCAGUUGCAAGGAUUGAUUUAAAGCAGAUGUUUAAGAAUAAUGUUACUGAUCAUAAGCAAAAGGUGGAAGCCAUGAUUAAAGACAUUAACACAAUCUCUUUGGAGUUGAAGAAGAUGAAAGAUUUGCAUCACUUGCGGAUUCCUACAGCAGUCAAAGCCAAGGGGAAUGGGACUCCCAAGACCAGUUUGGACCAGUCAGAACGCACUGCUGGAGCUGGGGAAAGGAGCACCUCAAAUGGAACCAAGUUGUGCCACCAAGAAGAAAAAGGGAGUGGCUGUUAGUUAGGCACCAAAUAAGCUCUCCCAGUUAUUGCUUUGUGACCUUACUCUACAUUUUAAUCACCCUGUGAAGAUGGAAGACUUAAAGGAAGCAGAAAGAAGCAACCCCCUGUUUGAAGAGUCUGAAUUAUCUGAUGUAUCCCUUACU